UACGUAGGUGGCAAGCGUUGUCCGGAUUUACUGGGCUUAAAGGGCGCGUAGGCGGGUGCUCAAGUCCGGGGUGAAAUCCCACAGCUCAACUGUGGAAUUGCCUCGGAUACUGGGUGUCUCGAGGGUGGUAGGGGUAUGCGGAACUAUCGGUGGAGCGGUGAAAUGCGUUGAUAUCGAUAGGAACUCCGGUGGCGAAGGCGGCAUACUGGACCACUUCUGACGCUGAGGCGCGAAAGCCAGGGGAGCAAACGGG
rnacentral:rRNA from 1 species